GCAAUCAUACUGUGAAACUGCGAAUGGCUCAUUAAAUCAGUUAUCGUUUAUUUGAUAGUUCCUUUACCUGGAUAACCGUGGUAAUUCUAGAGCUAAUACAUGCUAACNNCCCCGACUUCGGGAGGGGUGUAUUUAUUAGAUAAAAAACCAAUGCCCUUCGGGGCUCCUUGGUGAUUCAUAAUAACUUAACGAAUCGCAUGGCCUUGCGCCGGCGAUGGUUCAUUCAAAUUUCUGCCCUAUCACCUUUCGAUUGUAAGAUAGAGGCUUACAAUGGGAGCAACGGGUAACGGGGAAUAAGGGUUCUAUUCCGGAGAGGGAGCCUGAGAAACGGCUACCACAUCCAAGGAAGGCAGCAGGCGCGCAAAUUACCCAAUCCCGAUACGGGGAGGUAGUGACAAUAAAUACUGAUACGGGGCUCUUUCGGGUCUCGUAAUUGGAAUGAGUACAAUCUAAAUCCCUUAACGAGGAACAAUUGGAGGGCAAGUCUGGUGCCAGCAGCCGCGGUAAUUCCAGCUCCAAUAGCGUAUAUUAAAGUUGUUGCCGUUAAAAAGCUCGUAGUUGAACCUUGGCCCUGGCUGAUCUGUCCUCCUAAUCGAGCGCACGGAUUCGGUCGGGGCUUUCCUUCUGGGGAGCCCCAUGCCCUUCACUGGGUGUGGCGGGGAACCAGGACUUUUACCUUGAAAAAAUUAGAGUGUUCAAAGCAGGCCUUUGCUCGAAUACAUUAGCAUGGAAUAAUAGAAUAGGACAUCGGUUCUAUUUUGUUGGUUUCUAGGACCGCUGUAAUGAUUAAUAGGGACAGUCGGGGGCGUCAGUAUUCAAUUGUCAGAGGUGAAAUUCUUGGAUUUAUUGAAGACUAACUACUGCGAAAGCAUUCGCCAAGGAUGUUUUCAUUAAUCAGUGAACGAAAGUUAGGGGAUCGAAGACGAUCAGAUACCGUCGUAGUCUUAACCAUAAACUAUGCCGACUAGGGAUCGGACGGUGGUUUUUUUAUGCCCCGUUCGGCACCUUACGAGAAAUCAAAGUUUUUGGGCUCG
rnacentral:rRNA from 1 species